AAAUUUUUAAAAUUAAUUUUUAAAGUGUUUGAUUUUUAAUUGAACCCAAGAAAUUUAGUUAAGAUUAAAUAAUCUUUAAAAGAAUAUUAAUAUUUAAAAUGUAGUUAUAAAAGUAUUUAUAAUAUCAUAUAAUUAAACUUAAUUUAGUACCACUAAAUUUUUAGAUGAAAAAAUUUAAAUUAGUUAUGGACAAGCUUAUAUAGGAUUUAGAUUGUUGGUAAGGUAAUGGCUUACCAAGUCGAUUAUCUUUAACUGGUUUGGGAGAAUGCACAGUCACAUUGGGUCUGGAACAGAACCCAACUACCGAAGGGGUAGCAGCAGUAGGGAAUCUUGGACAAUGUGCUAACGCACGAUCUAGUAAUGCUUUAGAGGUGAGGAAGGUUCAAGAAAUCGUAAAACCGUUGUAAUAUUAAUGCACAGCGCCGCUUUACCGUUUUUAUUAUGUAAGUUCCGACUAACUUCGUGCCAGCAGUCGCGGUAAUACGAGGGGAACAAGUGUUAUUCGUACUGAUUGGGCGUAAAGGGUGCGUAGGUUGUUAAUUAAGUUUGAAGUUAAAUUCUGAAGCUCAACUUCUUAAAAACUUUUUGAUACUGAUUAACUUUGAGUUAUAUAGAGGACAGUAGGACUCUUAGUGUAGAGAUAAAAUUCAAUAAUAUUAAGGAGACAAGUCAAGCGUAGGCGACUAUCCAUUAAUAACUGACACUGAGGCACAAAAGUAUGGGGAGCAAAUAGGAUUAGAGACCCUAGUAGUCCAUACCGUGACCUAUGAGUAUUGAAUUAGGAAUUAAUUUUCAAGGAAUGAUUUCAAACUUCAAGCUAACGCGUAAAUACUCCGCCUGGGGACUAAGGCCGCAAGGUUAAAACUCAAAGGAAUUGACGGAGAUCAGACCAAGUAGUGGAGCAUGUGGUUUAAUCCGAUAAUCCGCGUAGAACCUUACCAAUUCUAGUUCAUAUCAAGAGAUAUAUAGUAUUAUAUUAACUAAAUUUUGUGACAAUUUUAUGUAUUGUUUCAAAUAAGAUAUGAUCAGGUGUUGCAUGGCUGUCGUCAGUCCGUGUCGUGAGAUGUCGGGUUAAAUCCGAUAACGGACGCGACCCUCGAACUAAAUAUUUUGUUUUAGUUGAAAGAUAAUGUAAGAUUAUAGGAAGGUGAGGACAACGACAAGUCGUUAUGGCCCUUAUGGAUUGGGCUACACACGUGCUACAAUGGUGAUAACAAUAAGAUGCAAAAAUGUGAAUUUUAGCUAAUCUUUAAAAAGAAAUCGUAGUCCGGAUUAUUCUCUGCAACUCGAGAAUAUGAAGCUGGAAUUACUAGUAAUCGUAUAUCAGCACGAUACGGUGAAUUCGGAACCUGGUCUUGUACACACCGCCCGUCACGCCAUGGAAGCAGGUUUUGCAGAUCGGAAGAGCACACGUCUGAACUCCAGUCACCUCGCGCAUCUCGU
rnacentral:rRNA from 1 species